GAGAUUCCCCCAGUAGCGGCGAGCGAACGGGGAGGAGCCCAGAGCCUGAAUCAGCAUGUGUGUUAGUGGAAGCGUCUGGAAAGGCGCGCGAUACAGGGUGACAGCCCCGUACACAAAAGCGCAUGUGUUGUGAGCUCGAUGAGUAGGGCGGGACACGUGGUAUCCUGUCUGAAUAUGGGGGGACCAUCCUCCAAGGCUAAAUACUCCUGAC
rnacentral:rRNA from 1 species